rnacentral:rRNA from 1 species
ACGAACGCUGGCGGCAUGCCUUACACAUGCAAGUCGAACGGUAGAGGGGCAACCCUUGAGAGUGGCGAACGGGUGAGUAAUGCAUCGGAACGUGCCCAGUCGUGGGGGAUAACGCAGCGAAAGCUGUGCUAAUACCGCAUGUGAUCUGUGGAUGAAAGCAGGGGACCGCAAGGCCUUGUGCGAUUGGAGCGGCCGAUGUCAGAUUAGCUAGUUGGUAGGGUAAAAGCCUACCAAGGCGACGAUCUGUAGCUG